GACGAACGCUGGCGGUGUGCUUAACACAUGCAAGUGGUGCGACGAACCAGAGCUUGCUCUGGGGCAAAGCCGCGAACGGGUGAGUAACACGUGGGUAAUCUACCCCGAUGACCGGGACAACCCGAGGAAACUCGGGCUAAUACCGGAUGUGGUACGGAGACAUAAGUCUCUUUACUAAAGGUAGCUUCGGCUUCCGCAUUGGGAGGGGCCCGCGGCCCAUUAGCUAGUUGGUGGGGUCAAGGCCUACCAAGGCAACGAUGGGUAGCGUGGUCUGAGAGGACGAUCAGCCACACUGGGACUGAGACACGGCCCAGACUCCUACGGGAGGCAGCAGUGGGGAAUCUUGCGCAAUGCGCGAAAGCGUGACGCAGCAACACCGCGUGAGGGAAGACGGCCUUAGGGUUGUAAACCUCUUUCAGAUGGGACGAAGGUGAUGCGGUGAAUAGCCGAUGUCAUUGACGGUACGUCAGAAGAAGCUCCGGCUAACUACGUGCCAGCAGCCGCGGUAAU
rnacentral:rRNA from 1 species